ensembl:lncRNA
AAAGCACCAUAGCAGCUUCAGAUAGCCAUGGAAACAGGAGGCUGGGAGAGGCAGCUGCAGCAGGCAAGAACAUGCCAAGCUGAACCAUGCUGAUGGAAAUUCCUGUUUGAAGAGAGGAAGAUUUUCUUUCUAUGGUACUAAAACAACUGGAGGCUGCAGUAAGUGUUGUGUCUUCUGUUGCUCUGAGCACUCCACUUAAACAUGACCAAGCAAAAAACAGUUUAUGCUCUAGAGAGUGUGUGUGCAUUUUAAGGCUAUAAACGUAGAUGGAAGAGAUGGUAAGGUAGAACGGAAAAGGGAGAACAAAAGGGAAAGGAGGGGUUAAAUACAUAAAAGUGAACAUAUGGCUCAAACUGAUGACAUCAAUUGUUUCAGCUCACCUCACACUGAAUUCUUUAGUCUUUC